GAUGAACGCUAGCGGCAGGCUUAAUACAUGCAAGUCGUGGGGCAGCAGCUUUAUAGCAAUAUAGAGGCUGGCGACCGGCAAACGGGUGCGGAACACGUACAGAACCUUCCUUCGAGCGGGGAAUAGCCCAGAGAAAUUUGGAUUAAUACCCCAUAGUAUUACGGAGUGGCAUCACUUUGUAAUUAAAGAUUUAUCACUUGAAGAUGGCUGUGCGGCUGAUUAGGUAGUUGGCGGGGUAACGGCCCACCAAGCCUGCGAUCAGUAACUGGUGUGAGAGCACGACCAGUCACACGGGCACUGAGACACGGGCCCGACUCCUACGGGAGGCAGCAGUAAGGAAUAUUGGUCAAUGGACGAAAGUCUGAACCAGCCAUGCCGCGUGGAGGAUGAAGGUCCUCUGGAUUGUAAACUUCUUUUAUAUGGGACGAAAAAAGGCUUUUCUAAGUCGUCUGACGGUACCAUAUGAAUAAGCACCGGCUAACUCCGUGCCAGCAGCCGCGGUAAAAC
rnacentral:rRNA from 1 species